GAAUAUGCAUUUGAAACAAACACCCCAGCCGAUUUGGGUCCAGGCAAAUUCGAAAACAAUCGCCUCACGCCGAGAAAAUCUCGGCCUCACAGCCCAAGAUAAUCCCGAGUGGCUGCAACGGCUGGAGCGUGCCUCAACCGAGCCUGGUGCUUUCCUUUGGUUCCGCCCUGCUGCUCAGCGCGGAUUGGUGGCGAGAAGGAACUCUGGCGCUGAUUGGGCGGCAGGGGAGUCGUUCGUGGUUACUGUAGCGUUCGGGAGCUCCGGAGUGCUAAAUUUAUCUUCAGACGAGCGACCGCGCCAGCAGCGAAUCGGAACUGUAUGGAGGUGGUACAGGCGCUAUCCCUGAACUGAGAGCAUCAACCUGUCCCCGAAUCCUUCUUUCCUCUGUUUUGUUUUCCAUUCCCCUCCUCCUCCUUAUCCCCCACCCCCCAGUCUGCGACGACUGGCUUUUGACCAUGUUCAGGCCUCGGUGAAGGCUUUUUGGUUACUCCCCAUUCCACCCCAUCUCUUAAUUUUAUUCUUUUGAAGAUUCUACAUUUCAAGCUGCCAAGGUGGACAGUGUGAUUGCAAGAGGGAGUGCUUCUCAUUUCAGGUCUGGAAUCUCGGUAUGGCCUUAGCUGGGUCCUCUGCUUCAAAGUCUUCUGAAGGCUGCAGUCAAGUAUUGGCCAGGCCUGCAGUUAUUUCAAGACUCAACUGGGGAAGGAUCCACUUCCAAGCUCUCUCCUAUUGGCAGGAUUCAGUUUCUUACAGGCUGUUGGACUGAAUUUAAGGCCGCCCUCGGUUACUUGACACGUGGACCUCUCAGAACAGUUCACAAAGUUUCAGCUGGCUUCAUCAAAGGGAGCAAGUAUGAGAGCAGUAAGACAGAAGUCAGUCUCUCGUAAUCUAAUUUUAGAAGUGACAUCCUAUCACUUUUGUUGUAUUCUGUUCAUUAGAAGCAAGUCUCUUGGUCCAGCCCACAUCCAAGGGGAGGAGAUUAUACAGGGCACGAGUACCAGGAGGGUAGGUAUCAUAGGGAGCCAUUUUUGAAGGCUGCCUACCACAGGCUAAGAUUGGUUAAGUUGCUUCUCUUGUUUCACAAAGCUAGUAAGUAGCAAAUCUGAGAUUCCACCUCACAUGGGCCUGACUACAAAGCCCACAGUGUUUCUAUUGCUCUUCUCCCAGUGAAUACAUAGGGAUAAUUUAUGGUUAGUAUAAACUUGUCUAGAAGUGAAUUGUUAGAAAGCGUGAAAAGUCUGUUUGCUCUCUAGGAUGGAUUAAGCCAUCUUCAUCCUAUCUUGUUCAUCCUAAUCAUUUUCUUAAUAGAUAAAGCAAAGUAAACAUUUUUCAUUCUUGAUCUGUGAUAAAAUAAAUUCCAAAUUUUAGUGAUAACAGAAUAUUCAUUUUUUUAAAAGUGCACAAAUGGGAGUUAAACUGCCUAAGGAAAAUAAUCUCUGGUGAAUACACUAGUGUUACUAACAAACCUUUGGAGAGCAUACCUUUAAUUUGUUUAUAAACAUUUCACUUUCUUUGUAUAAGACCCUGCCUAGGGGAUGGCAUUAAGAGAUUUAUAGAGCCUGUUCCAUGUCCUUGAGGAGAUCACAGUGGGGAAGGACAGAGAUAUUUGUAAAUAAUAUAAUAAAGGUAUAAACAAGGUGCUAUGUAAACUCAGAGAAUAAAGUGGAGAAUGCUAUAGGUAAAAUAUAAGUCAAAGCAGGACUUACAGAGGAAAAGAUACUUUAUUUAAGUCUUGAAGCAUGAAGCUGAAUUUACUGAGUGACCAAGGCACAGAGUUGUUAAAAAAAAAAAAAAAUGGCAUAUAUGAGGAAUUAUAAUAGCCCAAUAGCCCUAGAUUAUUGGAGAUUAUUGGAGCCCAAGAAUAAUAGCAGAUUUGGAAUUGUGAGGACUCCCUGAAAGUCAGAAAGCAGAUGGGAUCAGAUUGGAAAAGCAAAAGUCAGACUUCAAGAUCAGAGGAAAUGAUACAGGGAGUUGGGGUGGAGGAGAAACUGCAGUGUCCAAGAGCAACCAUAAAGGAUAACUGUUCCAGGAAUGGAAUUUGAAACUUCUGUUUAGGUUGGCUUCUGCCUUCAUUCAUUCUCUUCUUCAAAUCCAAGGGUACCUAGGCUUUGCCCAUAGGCUGGUACCUUUAGGCUUGUGCACUGACUCUGGGGUCUUGGGGCAUAUAACCUAGGUAGUGCCCCAGGAAAGGAAGUCCUACUUUAUACCCAGAAUAUUAGCCACUGGUAUAACCAAGAUUCUAUUUUGACCCUGCCUCACAAUCUCCAGAGCAAACUGUGAUAAAGAGAAACAGCUUCAUGCAUAGAGAACAGGGAAUACCAAGAUGAAAACAAAAUCAAGAACCACCAGACACCCAAGGAAGACCAAUACUAUGAAAGGGUAACACCAAUCAGCAACAAAACUCAAGCAAAUAGCAUUAAUAGAGCAAACAGAGGGAGUAUCUUUAAAAUAAUUAUUAAUAUUUAUUCAGUGCAUACUAAUGUCAGGCAUUGUUCUAAGCACCUUACAUGUAUUUUCAAAUUUAAUCCUUAUACAGUAUAUCACCAAAGGAAUAUGAAAGAAUAGUGAAUCUAUGAAAUAAGAACUAACUUUUAUGAAAAGAACCAGUUAAAAUUUUAAAAAGCUUUCAAAGAUAGACUGAACAACAAAUGGACUUUGAUGAAAAUUAAAUCAGUAAAGCUGAAAGAAUAUGCUGAACAAUUAUUACAUAUUGCUACUCAAAAAAAGCAAAGAUAUUGAAGGAAGGAGUUUUAAGAGACAUGUAAACUAUAUCUAGAGAUUUCCAAUAUCCAUCUCAUAACUCCAAAGACUGAGACGAGAGAAUUUGAGAGAGAAAAUAAUUGAAAUAAUGAUAGAAGAAAAAUUCCCAGAACUGGUGUGACUAAUAUAAUUUGUAAGAUAUUUUUCGUGUAAUUUAUGUCAAAAAAAUAAGAAUGAUGAAACAUUAUAUAGGUGCAUCUUAUUUUGUAUUGCCAGGUUGCAUCUAAGAUUUCAUCACUUUAUAAUAUGUAUUUCUAAGUUAUAUAUUCUGUAUAUUUUAGUGAUAAUUAUGCUGGGUUUUUUUAGUUUUUAAUUUUGAAAUAAAUGUAGACUUACAGAGAAGUUGCAAAAAUAGUACAAAUACCCUUCACCAAGCUUCCCCUAAUGUAACAUCUAUAACUAUAGCAUAAUUAUCAAAAUUAAAACAUUAGUGCAAUACCAUUAACUAAAUUACAGACUAUUCUGAUUUUACCAGUUUUUCCACUGAUAUCCUUUUUCUGUUCAGGUUCUGAUCCAGGACCAGCUACACUAUUUUUGAUGUGUUAAAAUGAGACUCAGAACAAUUCCAUCAAUAUCCUGUUUAUUAUUUUCACCUCUCUUUGAUAUUUCAUAUUAUAUAAGGAAGCCCUACUGAACUUAUUUUUUAAACAUUCCUGAAAAUCAUCAAGUAUUAGUGUCAUGGUAAUAUGUGGAUUAGAUGUAAGAAAAAAUUCAACAAAAAUAGAAACUAAAAAGUAGAAUCACUGUUUAGAAAGCUUAGAAAGCACAGAUCCUUCUUGACCUAAAGAACUUUUUUACCCAAUAUAAUUUUCUCAGUCUUUCCUAGUCCUAUUUUUAUUACUCCCAUUGCUUCUAAGGUGGACAGGCCCAGGUACACUGCUAUUUUUUGUUUGUUUUUCUUUUGUUUUGUUUACCUUGUAUCAUGUUUACUCAGAGAAUGUUCUGGGGCUUAUCCAAAGUGCUCCCAAUCUGAAAAAUUAAGGAAAGGGCCUUUUUAAUCCUUAAUAUAUGUAUUUCAUAUAUUAUUAUAUUAUUUUUUCAAUAACCGUUUGACAAAAAAAAAAAAAAAAUGGAAUCAACCAAAAUGUCCAUCAAUAAAAGAACAGUUCAGUUAAUUAUGGUAUGAUAAUGAGAGGUGUCAGUCUCAAUCCUGGGUUCCCCCAUGGAUGUACCUAUGGAAGAAACAUUAUAUGUUGGCUGCUGGUUUCUAAACACAUAAUGCUAUAGAACAGGAGUCAGAAAAUUUUUCUAUAAAGGGCUAGAAAGUAAAUAUCUCUGACAUCAAGGGCUGCAUAUGGUAUCUGUCAUAUAUUCUUCUUUGUUUUUGUUUAGAAACCCUAAAGAAGGUGAAAACCAUUCUUAAAUGCUGUUCCAAACAGGCUCUAGCAGUUGGUAGUCAAUGAGAAAAAAAAAACCUUGUAUUAUUCUUGUCUACUCAGGACAAUUUCUACCUAAUUGUCUCUCUUAGAUUGUUACACCAAAUAAAAAAUUUUUAACUCCA